GUAGCUAGUUUGGUGGUUAGAAGAUUGUUUGUAGUUCACUAUAACUUUAGCAAAAUGACAAAUAUCGCACCUGCUGUAAAUGUUUUAAAUUAGGAGCACGGAGAAAACUUCAUACGACGCUCGGAUAGUCUUAUAAUGUCCCAUCAAUCGUCUCGUGGUUGGACGAUAUGAAGCAGCCGCGGCAAGUAACCUAUUGGACAUAUUUAAUUACCUCGUCCUGUCCGAAGGAGCAGCAUUGAAAAUUAUUAAAAUUAUUCACCCAGUGUUUAUUCACAAGAUUGACCGAAGCUUAUUUAGAUGACCAAAUUAUGAACAAUGACCCACCCUGAGGCUGUAAGAGUGUGCCUGAUGAAAGAAUGCGUACUUGAAGCAGUUAUAGGACUUAAUAUAUUCAAGAAGACCUAGCGAUCCUUAUAGGACUACAUGCAAAGCAAUGUACUCCAGACCGCACAACUGGAUAUACAGAUUGUGCCCUGAUGCCAUCUGCCCCGUUCUCCCAGCCUCAUCUUCCCUCUCUAUGCCUAGCUUCACAUCGGUUGGCUCUUCUUUGGCUCUCUUCAUCCCGUCUGCCUGCCUUGCUGCUCUCCCUGAUAACAUUUCCUGACUGAUGCCUUGCACUCUGACUCUUUCUGCAAGGUGCCAUUCUCAGCAGUGACUCAAUUUAGUGCCACCCUGCUGCUUGGCAUUGCAUGUCUGAGGUCAUCACCAUCUUUCUUCAGCCAACCAAAAUGAUUCUCACCAACCACCCCAGCUCUGCUAAGCUUGAUGUUGGAGGUCUGCUGUUUUUGAAGCAGGGGACCACUGUCCAUUAAAGGCUUCAUAAACCAUUUAACAAAAUCACAUAAGAUAGGGUAGAUAGGGUAGUUCAUACUCCAUGCGAUGUGCCAUGCAAUGGAAGGGCCAUGUUCCUUAUCACAUCUGGAUACUGCAAAGCUCCUGUCUCCUCAACAAUUUACGAACUAAUCAAUUAUUAAAUGAAGAAAUGCUAUGGAAAAGCAAAGAUAUUUCUUCCUGUGGAGUUUGAGUCUUAAAUUUAGUAAGUACUGUUUUAUGGCAUAAAUAAAAGUUAAAUAUUAUGUUA